rfam:Heterocephalus glaber contig209877, whole genome shotgun sequence.
GGAGAUGUAGCUCAGGGGUAGAGCAUUUGCCUAGCAAGCACAAGGCUCUGGGUUCCAUCCCCAACAUCGCAA